AGGUGCUCUGUUUUGGGGGUUGAAUUAUGCCACUGGAAAUUUUCUCCACAGCUAAUGAAACAUCACACCAGAGUCAGACUAUGAACCAUCACUCUUGCCAAAGUAUGAAAUUUGCCGUCUACUUGUUUGAAAGGAGUCAAAUGCUGGUCAGGAGGCUGGUCUUCACUGGCAAAGGAGAAAGAAGGAGCUUUCACACAGAGAUGACUUCCGAGAAGAUGCAUGGCUGAGAGAAGGGAAGGGGGUGGAUUAUAACUGGAAAGAGGAAUCAUCAGUGCGGUGCCUUCCUCCUCCGUCUCCUGGAUGUUCUCUCUCUGAGUUUUGACCUCUGGAUUUGCCUGUGGGACAUGACCUCCUGUCCUGUACUUCACUCAUGGUGACAAGGGUAACUCUUUUUUAAAAGGAAAAGUGAAGAAACUUCCCU
rnacentral:lncRNA from 1 species